CCGCGACGACCAUCCAAGUCACCCACAUACAUGGAAGCGAUGCUCACCUGUUCCCAGCUUUUUUUCAAGAAGAGUAUUAUAGUUUAGGGUAGCUUAGAUAAUUGUUUACGUAUGAUAUGUAUAAGAUAUAGUUACAGGAACGGUAAUUGUUGGCGAUUUGAAUGUGAGGCUGUGUUAACACGGUGUGAGAGGAUGAUGGUGACUUGGUCUGGGUCUGCACCUGUCGCUCCAAGGAAACUCAAGACUACUUUACGUAUCUUAUUGUAACUGAAAGAUGACAAUGAAGACAAGAAGCAUCAGUUAUCAUAGCUAGACGCUCGUGCUGCGUCAGGAAGUUAACAGUUUCCCUGUCACACUCGCCUCGUGUUAAAUACAAGAGGGACAGGAGAGUCGCUGGUGGCUGCGUCAUCUGACUUACACGGCACCGACUAUAUAUAUCCAUCAUGGCUACCGAGGACGAGGUAACCUUAUUGUUUGAGCGACAUUCUGUGGUGCAGGUGCAAGAUAUUUUAAGAAAUACGCGUGGUAAUAUUGAGUGCAAAAAGGAAGAUUUGCGAGUUAUGGUGGGAGAGAGAUACAGGGAUUUAAUAGAAGCAGCAGACACCAUUGCUGAAAUGCGUGAUAGUGCUGAAGCUAUCUGUGAUAAUAUCAAGACUAUGGAAGGUCUCUGCGAGAGCCUUCAGCAACGGGGUCUUAUUGGAUUUAAGACACAGAGCCAACAAAAUAAUGGACUGGACAGGUAUUCAACAUCUGGCUCACAUUAUUCUGUAGCAGUACAGGUGAAGUUGCUGGUGAGAGUUCCAGAGGUAUUGUGGGAUCUCACAGAACACUCGCAAUAUUUGCCUGCAACCCAGCUACUGCUUUUGGCUCACAACACUCACACAGCAUUGCAGUUGUCUCCCACUGCUGAUAAGGUCUUUACCUGGUUUCCAGUUAUUGAACGUCAGUGGGCUAGCAUUACACAAUUCCGGAGCACAAUUGUUCGUGGCUGUUCAAAUCUUAUUAGCUCUGAGGCUGAUAAUGUUCAAGCUGUAUUAGAUGCAGUGGUGUCAGUCAUGCUCGUUGAAAGCUGUAGCUCUGCUGAGGCGCUCUCCCGGGUCCUCCACCUACGGCACGCUGCACUUAUGGCGGCACUAGCACCCAGACCAUCAGCCACUGCUAAAUCCCAAAUUACUCAAUUUACCACCUUAUUUAUAGCUUCCCUGAAUAUUGUUCAUGCUGUAUUUGUGGAAGGAGAAGAUGGGAAGAGUCUGCUUGAGAAGCGGUUGAAGGAAGUAGUCCAGGGGGAGGGUGAUGGAGGCUCCCCCAUCUCCCUCUUGCAAGAAUCCUCACUCACUUUGUCAUACCUUCCACAAUCCACCAGACACUUUAGACCCACAAUCCACGGCAACACAAAACCUCUUGGGAACGAGUUUGUUAAACGGCAGGUCACCAGCUGGUUGAACAAGGUGCUAUAUGAAGCCUCAAAAACUUUAGCAACAUUGCUUUCAUUUACCACAAGUAUCAAGGCACUGGCACUGAUCAGGUCCAGUGUGUGGGAGAUCUGUCAAGCCAGAUUAGAGAGAGAACAAUGGGACAAGAUCACUGAUGUUCUAUAUGGGGCACAGUUUGACCCAUGGGACUCAGUUGUUCAAGGCCAGGUGGCAGAAAGGGCCCGACAAGUUGUCGCAUCCCAGCUGACAGCAUCCAAGGAGGCAAUUGUUCAGAAGGUGUCUAGGCUGAUAAAAGAUAUUGCAUCUGAUCCCAAAAUAUGCUUAGAAGAAGGUGACAUUAGUAACUUUGUGUGGAGCGAGUCAGCUGGGGAUUUGCCCGAGCAAGUGGGAUGGACCUCGGCUGCUGCACGCUCUGUAUCUCAGUCAGGAGGCUUGUACUACAAAACACGAGGCUACACAAGUCGAUUACAAACUGUGUGUCGAGAACUCAACUCGAGGUUGACAGCUUUGCUUCAGGAUGUUGGACAUUUCAAUUAUGAAUUAGAGAAAGGAGACUAUCUUAGUGUUAACGACAAAAAUAGCUCAAGAGAAAGGGAAAAACACAGUGCCAUGGAAGAUUACAGCUCAUUGCUCAGUUUCCUGCAGGAUGCCAGUUGUGAAACAUUUGUUCUGCUUGUAAAGGAACUGGAAGACCUAGCGCAUCGUGAUGUCUCUGUUCAAAUACCCCAAGUCACUGAAGGCUGGGAUGAUGAUGUGUCUGGUCUGGCUCCAGCUGUGCCCCUAACCAUUACUGCAGUAGUGGGCCGCAUCUGUCAAGCGCUUCCCAAUAUUUGUACCCAGAUGCAGAUUUGUGCCUCAGCAUCUAAUCUGGUGAAUCCAGAUGUUGCAAGGCGUGUUUCAUUGGGAUCAAAAAUAGAGUCCGAAUCUUGGAUGAAGGUUCGUUUAGAACUUCAAGAGACCGGUGGCCGUCUGUUUGGCCGUUUCCUUAAAUCACUAACAUCUACUCUUUACACGGAGUUAAAGAUGUACCUCACAUCAGAACUUUCAUCAGGAGGAGUAGCCGCUUCCAUCAAAGCUUUUCCGUCAUGGGAGAUGGUACAAAUUGAAGAGGAAGGUGAAGGUGGCAAUGUUGUGAAAUCUUCCAUCCAUGUGCCUGCCCAUCCAACCCCAGCCCUCACGCAGGCUCUUGCCCGUCUUUGUUCGUCAGUCAACUCUGUGGGAGCUCAUACAAUUACCAGAAAUGCUCAGAGUGAAUUAGCCUCAAGUGCUUGUGAAGCUGUAACCUCUGCUUAUGAAAGCUCACUCCUUGACCAGGAACAGAUAAAUCAAACUUUGGCACUACAGCUCAUCUUUGAUUUGAGAUUUGUUCAGAUUAUUCUUCUGCCACGUGAUAAUAAGGAGGUGGGAGCUCAUCUGACUGCCAUGGUUCAGGAACUUGAGAAGAAAGUUGAUCCAUUUGAUCUUGAUGUGUUUGCACCUCAUGUUUCCACCAGAGUGAAGCUGUCUGCACAUAGAUUACAGGUGGUUCUGGGAGCAGUGUUGUCACGGGAUCGCCAGAUUACACCAAGUCGCCUUCCAGCUUCAUCAGCAUCCGGUGGAUCAAGCAACAAUGCCCUUCCAAUUGUCUUGCCUGUAGAAAUUCCGAGAUUUUCCAAUGUACCACUUCCUAUUCCUUCCUCAAGACCUUCUAUUCCGACCUCCAUCUCUAGCCCAUCUUUAUCACUGGCUGAGAACAUUGGUGAUGCAACUCCAUCAAAACAAGGCUCUUUGAAAUAUCUGUAAAUAAGGGCACUCAUUUAUAUCAGUGUUCCAGCACAUGUAUGUUGUCUCCAAAGAGAAACCUCACAUGCUCAGAGUAGCCCAUUGACAUCACGAAGAGAGACGUCAUCAGCAGCACUCUCAGCUUCCCGUAGUGCUGCCUCACUCUUCUCGGCAAUGAGCUCAUCUUGGUUUGGCUCAUCUUCAUCUUCAUCGACAUAACUGUGCCUACCAAACCAGUUUGAGGGUAUUUUAUUUUACAGAUAUUCAUCCAAAAUCUGAAAGUUUAUG
rnacentral:misc_RNA from 1 species